rnacentral:rRNA from 1 species
UGGCGGACGGGUGAGUAAUGUCUGGGAAACUGCCUGAUGGAGGGGGAUAACUACUGGAAACGGUAGCUAAUACCGCAUAACGUCGCAAGACCAAAGAGGGGGACCUUAGGGCCUCUUGCCAUCGGAUGUGCCCAGAUGGGAUUAGCUAGUAGGUGGGGUAACGGCUCACCUAGGCGACGAUCCCUAGCUGGUCUGAGAGGAUGACCAGCCACACUGGAACUGAGACACGGUCCAGACUCCUACGGGAGGCAGCAGUGGGGAAUAUUGCACAAUGGGCGCAAGCCUGAUGCAGCCAUGCCGCGUGUAUGAAGAAGGCCUUCGGGUUGUAAAGUACUUUCAGCGGGGAGGAAGGGAGUAAAGUUAAUACCUUUGCUCAUUGACGUUACCCUGCGAG